AUAAUUUUACAAGUUUUUACGUAUUUUUUUUUUUUUUUUUUUUUUUUUUUUUAUGCUAGGUACUAUAUGUAAAUGUCAUUGUUUGACCUAACAGAAAUACUUGGCAAUUCAAAAGGAGAAAAAUUAUAAGUCAUAAAAGUCGCCUACUUAAUAAUGUUGAAACGAUCAAAGUCGGGUCAUUUGGGUCGGGUUGAGUUCGAACGAAACGGGUCGCACAUCUUCACAUACCUAAUAACAACAAUAUGGCAAGGCACAGGUAUAGGUAUAUAAUAUAAUAUCACACGGAAUGUUUUCGCUGAAG